GAUGAACGCUGGCGGCGUGCUUAACACAUGCAAGUCGAACGAAGCACUUUAUUUGAUUUCCUUCGGGACUGAUUAUUUUGUGACUGAGUGGCGGACGGGUGAGUAACGCGUGGGUAACCUGCCUUGUACAGGGGGAUAACAGUUGGAAACGGCUGCUAAUACCGCAUAAGCGCACAGCAUCGCAUGAUGCAGUGUGAAAAACUCCGGUGGUAUAAGAUGGACCCGCGUUGGAUUAGCUAGUUGGUGAGGUAACGGCCCACCAAGGCGACGAUCCAUAGCCGACCUGAGAGGGUGACCGGCCACAUUGGGACUGAGACACGGCCCAAACUCCUACGAGAGGCAGCAGUGGGGAAUAUUGCACAAUGGGCGAAAGCCUGAUGCAGCGACGCCGCGUGAGCGAAGAAGUAUUUCGGUAUGUAAAGCUCUAUCAGCAGGGAAGAUAAUGACGGUACCUGACUAAGAAGCACCGGCUAAAUACGUG
rnacentral:rRNA from 1 species